AUCCCUGUAGUGCGAUGGUUGACGCGUUGCACUUCUAAUCCAAAGGUGGUGGGUUCGAAUUCCACUUGGGAUG